AUAUAAAAAGAACACUCAUUAUAUUCACACGCCGACAUGCUUCAUCUAAUUUAAUUGAAAGAUAUGCGGAAGAUCUAUAAGUUUCAAAUGUCGGUAAUACGGCAAAUUAUACUUAUUCCUUUAAAAUCUUCAAUUUGCGCCUCGAGUGUAACAUCCGAUGUGUUAUUACAUAGUUUCUUACCGUAUAAUUAUCUAUAUUACUCACUUUUCAAUUAGGUAAUAGCGAAAUCAAUUGGCGAUAUUGAUUCGUCGACAAUUUUGCACAUCCUCUAGGUAAUAUCUAUCCCAUUAAAAGCACCUCAGGUGCAACAAAUAUCGACAAAAAAUCCAUCCACAAGAAUAACCGUAAAUUAAAUUCAAUUUCAAAUCGAUCACUGUAUAUGUAUACCAAGUGUAUGAAAUGUAUGCCGCCUACAGCUGUACCGAAGAAAUAAAAAAUUUUUUUUAAAAAUUUGCAGCGCGAGCAGGUCGGUACACGUCUCGGUACAAUUCAUGGGCAUUUUGUUAUAUGUUUCGAUGGUAAAUAAAAAUGGAAACACCGCAGCCCUCUGUGACGGCAUUCAAGCGUGAAUAACUAUUACGAGAUCUCAUCUCUCCGAACAUCAAUUGACGUAGAAAUCAGGCUCAAAGGUAUAAUAGCGAUUCAAAUUUCCCGAAAUGCCAUAACAAUGAUUUCGGAGAAACCCGAGGAGAAACCUAAUGAAACGUGCUUUUCCUAUCUCUUAUUAACUGUAAAUACACUCGGUGUCGUCCCGUCCUUUUCAACGUAGGUACAUCGGCGCGAGUCUUCGAGUCUCUCGAUAGGGAUGCCUUGUAAGAAUGUUUAAGCUUCUUCGAAUAAAAUGAUCGCGAGAAGCCUGUAAGCUUGCGGUGUGGGUCGUCGUGGUCGUAUUAUGCCGAGGAAGUUUCACGAUUUUGCCUUCUAUGCUCGUAGGUGCAAAUCGACAUUAUUAUAAUCCUUGGCGAUUUUGCGAGUCACACGAGAUUUAGAAUCGGAAUUAGCUACCGAAUAUUCGUAUAUCAAAUAGAUUUUGACGACGGUGUAUAUUAUGGAAAAACGAAAAAGGUUUCGCGAUAUAAUUCGCCAAUAUUACGAUAUUUCAAAGUCUGCGGGAUUUUUUUUUUUUUUUUAAAUAAUUCAAUCUCAUUUUCAGCUCCGGACGAUCAGGGAUUUCACCUACUUACAAAAUUUUUAAAUAAUUCUCAUAUCUCUAUCGCUAUAAAAAAAUAAAUAAAUAAAUAAAUAAUAAAAAAGACUUCAAUAAUAGAAUUCAACUGAUGAUUAUAUUAAUACGCUGCACGUAUUAUUUCGUAAUAUUGUACACGUAUCUCGACCGAUUCUGCAUCGUGUAUAAUUAUACGCAUGUAGAUAUACUUGUAACAGAUAUGUAAUGAUGGUGUGUAAUUGAAUUAAUUAUUCCAACGACGGGAUUGCAAUGUAAAACGAUCUUAUUGUAAACGAAUCAGUUUUAUUGUACUUAACGGUUUAUUGAUCUGAUUCAUAUCUUAUCGAUAUAGACGGGAUUGUUGAAGAUAAAAAUGAACGCUACGGGGUACGCGUUACGCUAUAGAUCCGUGUAUAAUGAGCAACUAAUUGUAAAUGCGGGUAGCGUUAAAAAGUCCUGCAGCGUUGUGUUUUCGUAUCUUGUACUUUGCCAAAAUUUUUCAAAAAAACUUUCAUUAUAGAAAAAGGAGAAAAGAGCCUAUAGCUUCUCGAUCAAGUUUAUCGAUCGGUGUACGUAUCCGUAUAGAUUUGUAUAUCACGCGGAUAAUAAAAAAAAAAAAAAGGGACUUCAACGACGACGAUGAUGAUGUUCUCUCUGCCGAAGAAGUAGGUGUAUACGCUAUAGCGAGUGUUUAACAAGCAGUUGUCUCCGUAACCAAGAGCCAUCUAAUUGCCCGUAAUCAACGGAAUCAUUUAAACGGUUUAAGCUCGUUCGAGACAGUUAAUGAUCUACUUCGCUCGCUGCGAGACUGGAAUUAGAAAUCUGUCCCAUUAUGAACAGUCUGCAGUUUUCUUCGUUUACGCUCUUACGUACGUACUUAUGUAUGUAUACCUAUGUCCACGCAUUUAUAUAUGUAUACACACAUUCUAGUUACUCGACGGCGCGGACACGCGAUUAUCGUUAUAACUUUUAACCGGCGGGGAUAGAUAGCUGUAUACGUAUACAUGUAUACGCGACGUGAGCGUAGUCUCCCAUUAUAGAAGAAUAACUUAUUUGUUUCACGACUCGAUCAUCGAUCGCAAGAAACUCGAGCCGCUGAUUAGGACGCUAAUUGUAUCUAGAUGUACGUACAACUAAAAACUACCCUAUCAGUAAUUACAACGGCGAUAUCGUCGGCUCGCGAUAUACAUGUAUAACGCGAUUGCAGAAACCGCAGCCAAGCCAUUCGUACGCGCAAUUUUUAUCGUUCGCUUCGAUGCUUCGAUCAUAUCGUCGUGCGCGAGAACCUUGCGAAAUGACAUGAAGAAGUGCCGUACGUGAAUCGAAUACGUUUUACAUAAAAGCGCAAAAAACUACAAAUUUUUAUUUCUCCGACUCAACGACGGUACGCAUAGAGAUCGUGGUGUAAACGACGUCGGCAUAUAUACAUUAUCUCGCGCGAUCGGAUACGUUGAAGUCGGGGAUAGAUGCCGAAUUCGCGUUCGAUUCCGACAAGAAAUUCAUCGCAAUCGAUGGUUCGAUCUGCACGACGUGAUUUUCAACGACGACGUAUCAAAGAAUGGGGUGUAAUAAUGAGCAUAAUUCUAACUUAAUCAUCUCCGAAUAAUGGAGAUAAAAAAGAAGAUUAUUAAACACGAGGUACGCGACGUUCGUACGGAAGAUCCAUAUACUGUGAUGCGUUGCGUUUGGGAUAUAAAUAGCUUUAUGAUAAUGGUAUACAAGUUGAGGAGGCUAUCCGGGUGUUCGGUAAAAAUGGUCGUGGGCUCGGCCACGGCUCUCGAAGUGAACGGUACAUCCCGACACUGCAGGUUGAGCGUCGUCGAGUGAGUCUCUAACGUGUGUAAUAUUUUCAUCCUAUAUUUUAUACCCUCCACUUUGCGGAUAAGGUAUUCCAACUUCUGUUGUCAUUCCCAAUCGAUUCUACUGUUUAAUCAUACCUCGCAACUGAUCCGCCAUAAAAUAAUUACGCGAGAUCAUUUCACGGUCGUUGAUCGAAUAAUCUGACCUGUAAUCAUCGCGUGUAGAAUUUAUUCCGUUAAUCGGCGAAAUCUCUUCAAAAAACUGACGAUUGUAAUCGGAUAUAGAGUAUGGUAAAAUUGCAGAGGGAAAUAAUUUCAUGCGCAUACACGAUGUGCGACAUAUUGGAAAUUAUUUUUCAAAUUCCCGAUCGCAACAGUUUCUGAUGCAUCCGAAUCCAUGUAAACAGGAAUUUCUUAGGCAUAUGUAUAAAUUGUAAUUUUUUUAUGACGUCAUUUCGGCACACGCGUGUAACGCGGGGAUUACCGAUCGAGAAAAUAUUCGUGGAAAUCCACGUUAGGUAUAAUGUACUUGCAUGUGAGUUAUACGUCUAUAUGUGUAAUGAAUUUAUUAUUACAACACGUGCGAAGAAUUUUGCGUACACCGCAACGUAGUUUCAACUUUUAUUGCAACCUGCAAUCUGUCGCGCACGCGGAAGGGAAUGAACUCCGUUAUAUGUAAAAUUCAAUUGCGGAUGCGCGUAUGAUUAUAUUUAGACUAUCUUGCAAAUCUGCUGCCCCUUGUGAAAUGAAAAAUAUACAUAAGCUGUACGAUACGGUAUUCAUCAUUGCGGCAAAUUUUUCUAUCUUCCUCUCCGAAUCCUAUUGUAGCAGGGUGUUUUCAGUAGGAAUAAUAGAAAAUUUUUCAGACAAGAAUCUGUCGAUCCAUGAGAAUACAUUUACACAUAUAUAUAAUUCCAAAAAAAUGUACUAUAGAAUUAGUUCGAAUUAGAUUUUUUUCUAAUGAUAUUUUUCUCUAUCAACGUGGCAAAAUCUGAUUUUUUUUUUUUUUUUCAAACGUGUGUACUUUUACAAUUGUUUUUUUUUUUCCUCUAAUUAUAAUGACAUACAUUUAUUAUCUGAAAAAAAAAAAACGUUUUUAUCAAAGUGGCUACUCUACUGACGAUUUGAUCAUCUCGUGCGAUAUGACGUAACACAUAAGUCUUAUAUAUUCUAUACAUACCCAUAUAGGCGUAUGUACUUAUCAUAUCUCGUACUAAUUUCAGCAAUAUUACGUUUAAUUAAAUUGCGCGGUCAAGCGCGCAAAUUACUUAACGCCAGUUUACCUCCUUGUUCAAGCGUGAAUAUAGGUAUACGUAUAUAUAUAUACACAAUCAUUAUUAUCAUCACGUUCGAAAAAAAAUGGCGGAAACUCUCCACGGAACUGUACCUCAUUUGUGCACAAUAUAUAUAAAUAUAUAUAUGUAUCGCAUGUUUUUCCCCCGAUUGUUAUGUAUUUUAUUCCGUGAGAAUAGGUAAAUGAUGCAAAAAAAGCAAUAUAAUAACAGCGAAUAACAGUAAUGAUAAUAGGCGGCAUAACGAUUCGCUAUAAACUAUAAACUAAAAAAAGGGAUUCGACGUGUCGAUGAGAAUCGGUUUCGAUAAUAAAUCAAACAAUUAACAGUUCUGAAAUGUGAGCCGACAAUUGGGAAUGAAUUUUCACGGGUCGGUUGGGAAUAAAUUCAAUUCUGAUAUUACGAGACUUAUUAAUCCAACGUUGGUUCGCGACUCGAACUUGAAUCGAGACGUUCGAGAAGAAUUCUUCAAACAAACGUACAUCGUGACGAACGUUUGCUUUAUUUUUACUUCUUCUAUCUUUCUACAACAUUGAAUUUGCAUGGAAAUAAUACAAGACAUCAUGCGUUUUGUUAGACGUAUAUACGUAUAGUGGAAACUAGAACGGAUGUGUAACAUACAAGAAUCGGUAUACACAUAUAUAUGCGUACUACGCAUAACAGACGUCUAGUAUGUGACAUUGGUGGUUUUUUGUCAGCGUGUAAAAAAACAACGGUAACAAAAUAAUAUAAUAUAUUCAAAUCAACCGGCACGCGGUCAUCGCGUAUUAUUCAGCUGCGUCUGCAGACGCGUCUCAUGUGCGGUGUAACAUAAUUACCGAAGCGUCGUUAACGUAAUUAUUAUCCGUAAAUUAUAUAUUGAGGGAUAAAAAUAAUGUUGAAUAAAUAAUGAAAACGUAUAGAAACGCCGCGGCACGUGUCGAUAAUCGAUUAAUGUAACAUACACGCUGUAAUUAUAAUUUACGGUAAAUAUAUACAUCUUCUUCUAGUCGCUCAUGUAUACGAAAUGUAUAUGUUUCAUAAGUUCCGAUAUUACAUAGGUACGUACGUACACAUAACCGAGGGUAUAACUUAUAGCGGGAAUAAUUCACUGCAGGUGGUCCGUAAUUACGAUUUGCAAAAAAAAGGAAUUUAUAGCUUGCUUCGAAAAAUUUCAAAGUGCCGAGCGUGCCGACGAUUUGAUUGAAAUUCGUAAGUUAUUCAUACCGGUCGAAUCAUUACCGCCCAUACCGUAAAUAAAUCUCUACGAAUUGCAAAUUGUUCACACAAAAUUUCGACCUAUAGAUCCGAGGAUGCAGAUAUCAUUGACGGAUAAAUUGGAAAUGAGUAGAAGAAUAUUGCGAAGCGUGAGAAAGAAAAUCAAUCUUUUUUUUCUUCCUGCACUUAUAAUUUUGUCAACGUAGUAAAACCGUAUUCGUCCUUCUGUUUCCGGCGUAACGAAAAAUGAUCGAUUCACCAAAAUUUUUUUUUCCUCGCAACAUAAACGCACGCUGCCGCGGCAGCUGCUGCUCGCGGUAUGAGACAUCUGCUGCGUUAGCUCGCAGCUCGCAGCUCGUUCCUCGGAUAAACAUAAAGUCAGCUCCCUUGCUUAAGCUUUUAUUACACGCGAAUGUGUGCGACGUAUUUCUAUCUGUGCGUGUAUUACCGUGUACUCCUCCACCGGCUAACGAGAAAAAGAAGGAAGAAAUAAAAAUUAUAGAAGAAAGACGCACACGAGCGGUUAACACACUCGACGACGCAACACGCGUGCACGUAUACCUAUAUACAUACAUAUACUACCUAUAUGAUCGCAGCCAUGCAAUGUAUUCAUGUACAUACGGAGUCAACGGUACUCUGCGAGGCACUCUGUUAACUGAGAAGACAAAAAAAAAAGGGAAAGAAUUUAUUUUUUUUUUUUUCCUUUUCAAAUAUGUUAUACACAUAAAACGUGUGCACGGUUGAUAGCUUCUCCCGUGAGAAUUUUAUAUUCACGUGCGCACGGUGCAAAAGUUUCCAUCGACGAAGAUGAGGAAAACGUAAUCAGAAAAAAUUCAAAAAAAUAAAUUCAUCAGCAUUUUUGGUUAGGUUCUUUUUCGAAUAACGUGAUAACGUACGCUCGGUUUCAGAUCUAUGACAUUUGUUUUUGUUGUUUUUAGUUGUCGCCACGUACGGGAUGAACGUAGCGUACUUUUACCCGGUUGGAGAAUGCCGUUCGAAUGAUUACAGCGGUUUGAUAUAUCUGGUAUACCUGGUUUCCCCGUACAAUUAAGGAAACAACUUACGGUAAAACAAGAACCAGAUAAAACCUGUGCUUUCUGCGCCGGUAUGUGCAGUGGAGGUACCAGCGACACGGUGUCACGGCUGAGACAAUAAUAAACGCUUUCCUCAGAAUCAAGAAAUUAGGUGGUUCGAAGUAGACAGCAGACAGAGAAAGUUACCGCUGCCGGUAUAAAUCGCUAUAUCAUAACCAAUUCGGAGAGCCGUUUAAGUAGCUCUGAGGCAAAAACUAAUCGAACUUUAAAUAGAAAAUAGAAACUAGAAUACGCUGUUAGCCUGCAGCCUACCGGGAUCGAUCGGCGCUCCGGUAAAUUGAGACAAUCUUUUUUUUUUUUUCCUCUCUUCGUUUGCCGUAGUAUGGGAUUUGAUAUGCAGGGAGAAAAAAAGUGAGAAAUGAUUUUUCGUUAUUAUAACAUUCAUCGAUGAUCGGUCGAUAGAAUCCGAUCACGCGAUAAUGAAAUACACAGAGAUUAUCGGUUCAAGUUAUGCGGUACUGAGAACCGAGAUAAAAACUUCCUGAUGAUAUAAAACGGGAAGUUUCGGGUAAUUUAUUGAUCAAAUAUUUUACUAUUUUACAACGACCGCCGUUUCGAAUUUUUAAAAUACAGGUUUUCGAUGACUUCUCUUUCUUUCGUGACCUAACCGAGACAGAAAGAAAGUAAUGUCCGUAAUAAACUUUCCAUCGCGUUAAAAAAAUUAUCAUACGGCGAAAAAUGAAUAAACCAAAUAGUUACGAGAAAGAUGAAUAAAAAAUAAAAAAAAAAUGGAAGAAAAAAUAAGUAAAUAAAAAAAGAUACAUUUGCAUCAAUGGAUAAUAAAAUGUUUGUCCGUGUAUGACGAAUGCCCUGAACUUUAUUUGAAUAAUUGCGUCACCACUUACGUGAACGAACACAUGAAAUUACUGAAAGUCCGAGGAGAAGAUUUGACAGCGAUGACAGCACUAACGGAACGUCGACGAUGAAAAGAUAAAUUUGCGUGAAAAUAAUUUUGGGGCAAUGAAAACCGAAACGUCAAAUGAGACAGCUGAGGAGUCGGUGAUUCAAAAUCGGUGGACGCAAGCGCAGUUUUGCCGCUCUGGGAAAUUGGACUGGUUAAUCGGCUAGUUGGAGGAAAAUCAAACGCGUUGGCUUGACCGUUGGCUAAAAGAAUCGCACGUGACGGGGUUGGACGUCGAGGGCGAUCAGUUCCGGGGACGAUUGUCGAAAAAAGGUUUGAUUCAGGGCGGAGAAUAUUUCGAACAAUAGUAUGCAGAAGUUUGGCCGUCGCCUCGAGUUCCACGCCCAUUUCAUAGCCACAAGGAUCGAGGUACUACAGAACGCAAACUACUCACCUUGAUGAUCAGCUCGAUUUCUGGCACUUCACCGUUUGCGGUUCCGUUUUCGUGUCCGUCGUCCGCCAUUAUCAGUCUACUCGUAUUUUAUAUGAAUACUUUAUUUAUUUUAAAGGGAACAAGGCACUUUUCGGCUUCCGAAUAGUUGCGAACCGUGAUUUUAUCGAACAGAACGCAAUGGAGGCUCACUAGAAACUAACGUUACAAGGAGAGCCACGGGAGAUACUUGGAAAUUAUUAACGUGGCGCCACGAGGUCGACGAAUCGAAAAACUAAUUUCACUCGGCAGCGUCGAUAUUCUACCGGCUGAUGUUAACCGCCAUAUCGCGUCCUGAAUGACCUUAACGCACUCGAUCGAGACUCGCUACUACCCUCCAAGCUUCGUCAUCUCAGAGGGCGCCAGCUCCCGAGGGAUUCAAUUUUCAGAUCCUCUUCAUUCAAUUUCUCUAUUUAGUUUUUACACUUAUUGUUAGGUAAUUUCUAUCCACGUAUUCGACUCUUAAAUUGUAAGAAUAUUGAUCAGUAAUUUUUAUAAUAUAAUUUUUUUCUCAAUUUCUUUGAUUUUCCUGCUUGUAAUUUAUUCUUAAGUAUAAUUUUAUUUUUUCACAUUUGAGCUUCAAAUCAGAAACGCACUUGAGCCGAUACACAUUGAGGGAUUUAUUGCACGUAUAGAAAUACAUGUAUAUUUAAUGAAAUUGCUGUAAAGUCCAUGACGAUAUUUGCUCCAGUUUUUAUUUUAAAUCAAAUAAAUUAAUUCGCCAGAGGGUCAGCAAUAAUUUGUCAUGUUAUAAUUCCUAUUUGUACAUUCGCUGUGCACACAUAAUAAUAUUAUGCGCACGGUUUGAAUACCACCGAUAUGUGACCGAUAAGGUCUACUGUUAUUAAUUAUGUGACUCACAUCACUGGUUUCCAAUAUUCGAUGACAUUUAGAAGAAUAAAAUAGGCGGCAUCCCCAGAGCGGAUAACUCGCAUCGGUUGUACA